rnacentral:tRNA from 1 species
GAGCGCGUGCGGCAGCUCGGCGGCCGUGCCGUCGAGCCGGGCCAGCAGCGUCUCCACGGCGAGGCGGCCGAGCUCCGGGCCCGGCGCGUCCA